CAGAACUCAAUGACUAAAAGUGACAUGCAGAGAUGGUCCCAGUCAUGUGCCAUUCAUCAGGAGACAUGGAUGCUGUGCUGGGUGCUUGCGGCUGUCUAAUGAUGACGUCUGCCUGUUUCCUCAAGCUAGAGUGAAGGGGACCGUGCAGAAGAAAUCAGAAGCACUGAAGGACAGGUUACAAGAGCAGCUGAAACAAGACGCCAGUUCUGGUCUGAGGGAGUGGUCUGGCUUACGAGUCUGGCCACUCAGUUAUGAUUGACACAAGUCUACACAUCAUGGCAGCUGAAGAGCAACCAAAGACAAAGUAAGUCAAUAUCCCCAGGUCACUUUAGCUACCUGAUGGUGACCAGUCUACCUUCCUGGCAGGGGAAACCAAGUCUUGAUAUAUUAAAUGAAUAACUAAGACAAUGAAUUAAGCAACCAUUCCUGAUCCUAGCUGUCAACUGAUGUAUUUGGGGUUUUUUAGGGGUUUUUUUUAGGGUUUUUUUUGGGGGGGGGUAGGGAC
rnacentral:lncRNA from 1 species